rnacentral:snoRNA from 1 species
AAUCCUGAUGAACUAUGUCUCUUCAAGUGGGCCCUCCAAAGCCCUGGGAAAAAAUACAUCUAAAAUAUGUAGACUACCUGACG